rnacentral:rRNA from 1 species
GAUGAACGCUGGCGGCGUGCCUAAUACAUGCAAGUCGAGCGAACGGACGAGAAGCUUGCUUCUCUGAUGUUAGCGGCGGACGGGUGAGUAACACGUGGAUAACCUACCUAUAAGACUGGGAUAACUUCGGGAAACCGGAGCUAAUACCGGAUAAUAUUUUGAACCGCAUGGUUCAAAAGUGAAAGACGGUCUUGCCGUCACUUAUAGAUGGAUCCGCGCUGCAUUAGCUAGUUGGUAAGGUAACGGCUUACCAAGGCAACGAUGCAUAGCCGACCUGAGAGGGUGAUCGGCCACACUGGAACUGAGGCACGGUCCAGACUCCUACGGGAGGCAGCAGUAGGGAAUCUUCCGCAAUGGGCGAAAGCCUGACGGAGCAACGCCGCGUGAGUGAUGAAGGUCUUCGGAUCGUAAAACUCUGUUAUUAGGGAAGAACAUAUGUGUAAGUAACUGAGCACAUCUUGACGGUACCUAAUCAGAAAGCCACGGCUAACUACGUG